rnacentral:tRNA from 1 species
GGGCAUGGGUGAUUUUUUCGGGCUCAUAAUCCUUUGGUCCACGGUUCGAGUCCGUGUGGGCCCACCA